UACGUAGGUGGCAAGCGUUGUCCGGAAUUAUUGGGCGUAAAGCGCGCGCAGGCGGUCCUUUAAGUCUCGAUGUGGAAAGCCCACGGCUCAACCGUGGAGGGCCAUUGGAAACUGGGGGACUUGAGUACAGAAGAGGAAAGCGGAAUUCCACGUGGUAGCGGUGAAAUGCGUAGAGAUGUGGAGGAACACAGUGGCGAAGGCGGCUUUCUGGUCUGUAACUGACGCUGGAGGCGACGAAAGCGUGGGGAGCAAACAGG
rnacentral:rRNA from 1 species